AUUGUUAUGUUUAUUUGUGAUUGACAGUGAUGUAUAUUCUUAUCUCUUGAUCGAUCGUCUUUUCCUCAAAAGCUCGGCCCUUGGGCCUUGACAAUGUAUAUUGGGUCCGUCUCCAUAGUGUCAAGAUUACAUUGCAAACCACGGGUACAUGCAGCCUUCACCGACAUUGGAUGGCAGACGAAGAACAAUAUUGAACCUCAAUCCUAAAGGUCUGGGCUUAGCUACUGCACCUUAGACCUUACAACAACUCCAAAAGUCAAAUUUAAUGAAGUUUUUCGACUCUCAUGGACCGACGGUGUAGACGUGUAAUCAGUAAACCUCCGAGCCACGUGAAUGUCUUAUCCUAUACUAUUGUAUUUUACACAAAUCACCUAUCCUACAUUUUUAUCAGUCU